AGUGGCGAACGGGUGAGUAAAAAGGGCAAUCUGCCCUGCACUCUGGGACAAGCCCUGGAAACGGGGUCUAAUACCGGAUACUGACCCGCCUGGGCAUCCAGGCGGUUCGAAAGCUCCGGCGGUGCAGGAUGAGCCCGCGGCCUAUCAGCUUGUUGGUGAGGUAACGGCUCACCAAGGCGACGACGGGUAGCCGGCCUGAGAGGGCGACCGGCCACACUGGGACUGAGACACGGCCCAGACUCCUACGGGAGGCAGCAGUGGGGAAUAUUGCACAAUGGGCGAAAGCCUGAUGCAGCGACGCCGCGUGAGGGAUGACGGCCUUCGGGUUGUAAACCUCUUUCAGCAGGGAAGAAGCGAAAGUGACGGUACCUGCAGAAGAAGCGCCGGCUAACUACGUGCCAGCAGCCGCGGUAAUACGUAGGGCGCGAGCGUUGUCCGGAAUUAUUGGGCGUAAAGAGCUCGUAGGCGGCUUGUCACGUCGGUUGUGAAAGCCCGGGGCUUAACCCCGGGUCUGCAGUCGAUACGGGCAGGCUAGAGUUCGGUAGGGGAGAUCGGAAUUCCUGGUGUAGCGGUGAAAUGCGCAGAUAUCAGGAGGAACACCGGUGGCGAAGGCGGAUCUCUGGGCCGAUACUGACGCUGAGGAGCGAAAGCGUGCGGAGCGAACAGGAUUAGAUA
rnacentral:rRNA from 1 species